rnacentral:rRNA from 1 species
CACGUAGGGCGCGAGCGUUGUCCGGAAUUAUUGGGCGUAAAGAGCUCUAGGCGGCCUGUUGCGUCCGCUGUGAAAGCCCGGGGCUUAACCCCGGGUCGCAGUGGAUACGGGCAGGCUAGAGGUAGGUAGGGGAGAAUGGAAUUCCCGGUGUAGCGGUGAAAUGCGCAGAUAUCGGGAGGAACACCGGUGGCGAAGGCGGUUCUCUGGGCCUUACCUGACGCUGAGGAGCGAAAGCGUGGGGAGCGAACAGG